rnacentral:tRNA from 1 species
UAGAUCAAAGCCAGUUGGUUAGGGUAUUUAGCUGUUAACUAAAUUUUUAUGGGUUUGAGUCCCAUUGGUCUAG